rnacentral:rRNA from 1 species
UACGUAGGGCGCAAGCGUUGUCCGGAAUUAUUGGGCGUAAAGAGCUCGUAGGCGGUUUGUCGCGUCUGUCGUGAAAGCCCACGGCUUAACCGUGGGUCUGCGGUGGAUACGGGCAGACUAGAGGCAGGUAGGGGAGAAUGGAAUUCCCGGUGUAGCGGUGAAAUGCGCAGAUAUCGGGAGGAACACCGGUGGCGAAGGCGGUUCUCUGGGCCGAUACUGACGCUGAGGAGCGAAAGCGUGGGGAGCGAACAGG